UGAAUGGUGAAUUUAACCGUUCCAUAUUCUUAUUGUGCCCCACCCACCUGGUGAGAGAUUUUUCUUCUAGGCAUUUAAUAGCCGGCUCAUACAUUUGACAAAGCAUACAGCAGGCAGCGAUAACGAAUUCCAGCCCAUGCCCGAAGAUAUCUGAAGUCCUCAGCAGUCCACAUGAGCAGGAAAUCAUUCAGUUAUACAUUAGAAGGUGGAGGAGGAACCAGGGGGACACCUAUGUUAGACUGGAUUCUGACUAACUGGGAGGAAUUGUCUGCAAAUCCGAAGGUUGAAGGCAAUUUUGUGGAAAGUGAUUGUGGAAAUGACAGAUUUCAGGAUCCUAAGGCAUGGAAGGAGUGAGAGCAGCAGAACAAAGACAAUGGAUUUAAAAAAACAACUCACCAGAUGUUACCAAACUAAGCGAACUGGCAGGUAUAGUCCCCUGGGAAGAAAAUCUAAGGGAAUGGGGGUUCUGGACAGCUGACAGCUUCUCAGAGAAAACAGCAAACUAUCCAAAUGCAAAGGAAAAAUACAAGGAAUAGUAAGAUGCCAAUAAAGCUGCAUCAGGAUCUCUUUAAUGACGUGAAGUCAAAAGGGAAGCUGACAAGAAGUGAAAACGUGGAUGAAUUGCUACGGAGGAGGACAAAAGAACAGCACAGACUUGUAGGGACAAAACCAGAAAGGCUGAGGAACAAAAUGAGUUACACCUAGAGAGGGAGGUAAAAGGCAAGAAGAAGAGGUUCUUUAAACCCAUUAGGAGCAAGAGAAAGAUGAAGGAAAGUCUAGAUCCUCUACAUAGCGAGGAAGGAGACUUAAUAACAGAUAACAUCAAGAGGGCUGAGGUAUUUAAUGCCUAUUUUGCUUCAGCCUUCGCUAAAAAAGUUAAAGGAGACCAGAUACUCAAUGCAAUUAAUAUUAAUAACAAGGGAGAAGGAAUACAAGCCAAAACAGGGAAAGACCAAGUGUGACAGGGUGGAUGAAGCCCUGAGGCCCCCUGCUGGAUGCCUCAUGACCCUGGCAUACCCUGCCCCAGAAAAGGGAAGUGGAGGGGAUCCUGAGUGGAGCACAGCCAAUCGGAAAGGGGCUGCAGGGAGCAGCCAAUCAGGGCCCAGCAGGCUAGUAUAAAAAGAGCUGCAGGGCCAGAGUAAGAUCUGUUCCCUGCUUGAGCUGAGUGGGUGGUGUGCCUGGCUGGCUGAGGGAGGUACAGGAGCUGGGGCAGAGCAGUGCUGACAGAGGCUGGGGGGAUCGUGAAGGAGCUCCGGGCUGGCGACAAGGCCCUGAGGUAAGGGUGAACAAUGAGCUGGGGCUGGGGGGCAGUGGCCCCGGCAAUUGUAGCAGUGAUGCAGUUUAUUUAAAGGGACAGGACAGGUGGCUGUUAUCUGUAGGGUUCCUGGGCUGGGACCUGGAGUAGAGGGUGGGUCUGGGUUCCCCCCACCAGCCACUGGGAGAGUGGCCUGGACUUUGAUACACCCCAGAAGGAGAAGUGAACUCUUGUAGUGUCCCAGCAGGAGAGCUGGGGCCAGAAAGGUCCAGAGAGGCAGAGUCUCCGGGAGCGAGCCCUGGGGCACAUGGCCCCACACCAGGGCCGGGACUGCUUGAAGAGCAGGGACAAUUUGAAAGAGCCCAGAAGGGGCUGAGAGACCAUUCGAACCAGGGUUCUGCGAUAGGCCCUGUUGGACUGACUGAGGCUCAAGUCUAGAGAUAGGGCUGCCGAUUAAGGGACCUUACCGAGGGCACUGAAAUAGGGCCCUUGUUGGACUUAUAUCCUGCAAGUGGUGUGAUUUAUCUCACAUACAGACUGUGUGUGUUGGCUGGAAGGCUGAGAGAGUGCAGGCACCUGCACCGAGACGGGGGGCACUUGUGAGGGGUGAGUGUCCCCCAUUACAGCAGGUUUAAGAAUAUUUAAAUAAGUUAGCUGUAUUCAAGUCAGCACAGCUUGAUGAAAUUCACGCUAGGAUUCUUAAGGAAGUAGCUGAAGGAAUGUUGGAAGCAUUAGCAAUUAUCUUAGAGGACUCCUGGAGGAAGGGUGAGGUCCCAGAGGACUGGAGAAAGGCAAAUAUCGUACCUGCUUUUAAAAAGGGAACAGGGAGGACCUGAGGAAUUAUCAUCCAGUCCCCUUAACUUUGAUACCUCAGAAGAUACUGGAACAAAUUAUUAAAAAAUCAAGUUUUAAGCACCCAGAGGAUGAGACGGUUCUAAGGAAUAGCCAGCAUGGAUUUGUCAAGAACAAACCAACCUAAAUUCCUUCUUUGACAGGGUUACUGGCCUAGUGGAUAGAGUGGAAGAUGUAGAUAUGUCUUGAUUUUAGUAAGGUUUUUGACACAGUCCCACAUGACGCUCUCCUAAGCAAAACAGGGCCAUGUGAUGUAGAAGAAAUUACAUAAGAUAUGUGCACAACUAGUCGGAAGACCAUACUCAAACUGUAGUUAUCAGUGGCUCACUGUCUAAGUGGGAGGACAUAGCUAGCGGAGGCCUGUCCUGGGUUCAGUACUAGUCAGUGAUUUUCAUUAAUGACUUGGAUAAUGGAGUGGAGAGUGUGCUUGUAACAUUUGUGGAUGACACCAAGCUGGGUGGCUUUGCAAGCACUUUGGGGCAGGAUUAGAAUUCGAAAGGACCUUUACAAAUUGGAGAAUUGGUCUGAAAUAAACAUGGUGGAAAAAAGACAAGUGCAAAGUCCUACACUUCGGAAGGAAAAAUCACAUGCACAGCUCUGAAAUGGGGACUAACUGGCUAGGUGGUGGUAUUGCUGAAAAGGACCUGGGGGGCUGCAGUGGAUCACACAUUGAAUGAGUCCACAAUGUGAUGCAGUUCUGAAAGGCUAAUAUCAUUCUGCAGUGUGUUAAAAGGAGUGCGUCUGUAAGACACUUGAGGUCAUUGUCCCACACUACUUGGCACUUGUGAGGCCUUGUGAGCUGGAGUACUGUAUGCAGUUCUGGGCAUUGCACUUUUUAAGAAAGACAAAUUGGAGAGUCCAGAGGAGAGCAACAAAAUGAUAAAAGGCUUAGAACACGUGACCUAUGGGGAAACGCUAAAAAGAGUGGGCAUGGUUAGUCUUGGGAAGAGCUUGUGGGAGGACCUGCUCACUGUCUUCACAUACGUUAAGGGCUGUCAGAAAGCGAAUGGUGAUUGAUUGUUUUCCUUUUGUUCUUCCCAUGUCCACUGAAGAUAGGACUAGAACUAAUAAUUGGCUUAGUCUGCAGCAUGGGAGUGUUAGGUUAGCUAUUGGGGGAAAACUUUCUAACUCUAAGGGUAGUUAAGCUCCAGAAUAGGCUUCGCAUGAAGUUGUGGACUCCCUGCCAUUGAAAGUUUUUGAGACCAGGUUGGACAAACCACUGCCAAGGCUGGUCUAGGUUUACUUGGUCCUGUCUCAGCACUGCGGGCUGACCUAGAUGACCUCUCGAGGUCCCUUCCAGCCCAGCAUGUCUAUGAUUCUGUGUGUCAUGGUGAUUCUGGUCUGUAAGAUGCCAUUAGUGCUCCAGACACACACCAGUAAUUCCAGCUCACUGCUGGCCUGGUACCAUUUUACGUGGGCAGCUUGAACAGCAGAGACUUGGGAUGGCCAGUGGUGCUAAACUGCAGGGUGGGCCAGCCUUGGUACUGGAGAGCUUUGUACACUGAACGUUUUCAGAAAGAGAAAUAGGUUUGUGUGAAGCCAAAGUUCUUUGGAGCGUAAGUGGCUGUUUUCUCGCCUGUGAAGUAUCUGCUCACCAAAGUGGCUGUGCCCCUGUAUCCUGACAUUUUGCAGUGUGGUGGGGGGGAAGGGGACAGGGGGGUUGCUCUUCAAACAGUCCUGGGACUUGGCACCCUGCUUUGAUACAGGGCAGCGCAGAGUCAUGUACCAGCGAUGCACAGAACGCUGAUAGUGGGGUGAGUUAGGUGGCACCUAAACCCCUUGGGCCUGAUUCUCCUCUCACUUAUGCUUGUUUUAGACUCGUUUAAUGACCCUUCAAGUAAUACAUGGCAUAAGGGUGCAUUGAUUUACGGAUUCUUAGAGUUCAGGGCCUGAAGGGAGCAUUAAAUCAUCUGGUCUGACCUCCUGCAUAUCACAAGCCAUUGAAUGUCACCCAGAUACCCCCAUAUUGAGCCCAAUAACUUUUUGGCUAAAGCAUCUUCCAGAGGGGCAGCCAGUCUGGAUCUGAAGACAUCAAGAGAUGGAGAAUCCACCUCUCCCUCUGAGAGUUUGUGCCUACAGUUAAUCACCCUCACUACUGAACACUUGUGCCGAAUAGCACAUGUACAGUGCCCCAGGUACACAGGUGCUGUGAUCAUGUGACUGUGUUGGACAAUAAGCAGUAUUCUUGCCCCUAAGGGCUUAGUCUAAAGGCACAAAUCAGUACACUGCACGGCUUCACAAAAGCACCAGGACGAUUGUACACAGGGUUUGGCGCUGUCCUCUGGCUUGAAUGCUUCACUAAACCUGGGGAGGAAAAGGAGGCAAUAUGAAGUGGGCAAACAGAUCAGUGUGUUGAUGAACUGGUCAUGAUGUGCAGGGAUUGAACCUGUGAUCCCUGGAACUGAAAGCAGGACCCACUACUGGUAGAGCAAAAGGACUGGGUCCACGAGCUCAGAGGCAGUAGCAGACUUGCAUGAUGUAGCCACAGGAGGGAGACAAAGCUGUGUCAGCAUGAGGUGUUGGCGGGUGCUUGAGCCUUUAGGUCCCUGGGAGAAACUGUCCUGCAGCAGGGCUGCGCUGGGAUCUACCAGCCAUAAUGAAAAGACUGAACAGCCUCCCUCCCCUCCUGUGGUCUGAGGGAAGCCCAUGGCUGCAGUGAGCAGACAAGGCUCAGUAUGCGACUGGGGAGAGAUGCGAACAGGAGCACAGUCCUGCAGGGCUGCCAGGGGAGGAGAGAAGCUGGACGUGAGCAGAAGCCGGUGUCCGAGCCUGAAGAGGGGCAUGUCCUGGCCAGAGCAGCAGGAGAGGAAGACUUUAGCAGCAGCAUUUUGGGUUGGGUGGGGAGAGGCGAGAGCGGAGGUUAAAGCCAGGGUGCAGGGAGCGCAGCGCUUUGUUUAGGACCUGUGAUAGCAAGAGAAACAUGGAGGAACUAACCUGCGAGAGGAGGAGACUUGUGUGACUGCAGCGUCAGGAGUACUUUUGGGAGAGGAUUAUUUUCAGCACUUCUCCAUUAACUGAAUUUCAGCUGUACAAUGCAGCGUUCCCUAUGGAUAAUGGCAAUAUGGACAUGUAUGCACCAGGGCAGGCCACCCACCAGCCAUGGGGUCACUUUCAUUUACUGCUGACCUCCACGUGAAAGCCUGUCUAACCCAUUACCAUUCCCUUCCAGUGUCCCAUUCCCCUGCAGGGGGCACUGCACGCACAACUUCCUAGGCUGGAUAGACCGGCAGGGAGAGGUUUUGAAUAAAUCACCUCAAGAGUCUGUAAAUCUCAGAAGGGCGGACUUGCUGUCCACACUUCUGCUCUUGGAAGUGCGGUGUGAAAUGUGAGUGUGUGUGACUGGUUUGCACUGUAAUGUCUUCUCAACUGGUCCUUAAUGGGCAUUGACGGACCAGAUCCAAAGUGGAUAGAAAGGCUCCCACUGAGUCUUUCACUGGAUUUUGGACCACACCCUAAAUGCAUGUUCUUUCAAAUAUUUCCCCCGGCUGGAGCUGGCUGGCUGGUGGAAUAGCCUCUUCGCACGAGUCAGCUUGUGACUUGAAAUGCAGAGUAGAAUGCUCUUCGUGGACUCCAGAUUAACUGCUCCGUCUAGACCCUUUUCAUGCAAAAUCAACUAUACAUAGAAACGUGAUCAGAGGCUUUCAUUAGAUGACAAAACCUUCCAUUAAAGCUAGGGGCCAGGUGGGAAUUGCUACAUUUUCCUGUUCUGUUCAGGGCGGCAUUCUGUUAUUGCCCUGCUUAAAAUGUGCCACCACAAUUCCUCUCUAUUUUAACUAAUUCUACUGGAGUUUAUCUAAAUACACCCUUGUUGCAUCUUAUCGGCAACACACUGAAUAACGGAGCAUUUUUCCUUCAGAAGUGUUAAGUGUAUUUGCACUCAUUGUCACAGAUUCAUUGUCAUCAAUUCAACAGUGUGAGUCAAACGGUUUCUAAAACAUAAUCAAAUUGGAUUAUCCAUUUGAUCUCCUGCUUCCUCGGCAGCCUGGCCUCAGGUACUCUGAUGUAACUCCAGGGUCGCUCCAGAGUCCUCUGUACUCAAGCUGCAGUGUCCCUGGCUUGCUAUUGACGUGGGCACUAAUGGAAAGAAAUAAUCCAAACACUAUUCCAAUCUGCUCCAGAAAAGAGAGUUGUAAAUACUCGGCCCUUUGCCCACUUAGCUUGUUGUACCUAAAUCAACAAUCACCCCAGGACCUUAGAGAUGGCAAAAACCUCUACAUUACUUAGACCCAAUCCUGAACUCAAAUGAGGCGUUCACAAGUUGUUUUGUAUGCCACUGGCCUUGUAUUGUAGCUGCAAAGUGUACUGAUGAUAUAACUGCACUUCAGAUAAGAAAAGUCUGAUAGUCACUUGUUAAUAAACAGCUAGCCACCGAGGAAUGCUCUAAACUUCAGCUCACUUCCUCCCUUUAGACAGACAUUUUCUGCAUACCACAAUUAACUGCGGUCAAAAAAGAGACAUGAGAUUGGCUGACGGGGAAAUCCUUUAAGCAAAGGCUCAUAAGGAUCAUUGCACAGUUCAGGAUGUGGGGCAUGAAGUGAAAUUUUACCUUGAGGACCCGUGGGCUUUGCAGCCUUUUAGGGGCAGCCCAAGUAAAUCGCCCUGACUUUUCUGAUAGGCUGUGUCUAGUGGUCUGAUGCGAAUAUUACCUGUUGCAUGAAUAUUGCUGAGGUCAGUGCUUGCUGUGAGAUGGUCGUGCUUCAUAAGAGGUACUUCUGCCCCCACAGGGGCACUGUAUCUAGGGGGCCAAUCUUUCUGUUCAGGGCAAUGGAAAUCCUGCAUAAGGUGUUGGCCUGGCAGUCUGUGAAUGGGACGAGGUGAGAUCCACUCAUAAACCCCGACGACUCAGUCCUUGGCCAAAGUGGUAACGAAGCAGGUUCUCCCAAAGGCCCAUACAAAGCUGUGAAAGAACUCCAGCACCGGGGCCAUUUGUUCAGGGCAGGCCUCACGCAUCUCUGUGUCCUGUUGGUAGGAAGAGAACUUGCCUAGCUGUGGGCACUGGUUUCAGAGGGUGAUGUGAUGACUGGGUACUUUUCCUUUCUAGGUGCACCUAAAGGAGAGCCUGUGGAGCUGGUUUGUAGGGUCAGGGUCUGCUAAACCCAGUGCCAGGGGUCUGGAGAUUCAGCCGUCUUGCUCUGAUGCGCACAAUAGGGCAAGCACACUCAUGGAUUCCUGUCUCUGCAUGCUGUCUAAUGUACGAACAAGUGUGUGUUGGUUCAAAAAGUAAAGCACUGUGGGGAAGAAGCAAUAAAGAUAAGGAGGAAAUGGAGCACUUCUUAAUGAAGACAAACUGGAAGGAUAGUGAGAAAAAACGGUGAAAGAUAUGACAGAGCAAGUGGAAUAGUAAGUGGGUAAAAUUAGAUUUCAGAAUCCCAGACAUCAAACAAAAGGUUGGAUUCAUUUACCAGAAACUCUCAAAUAACCACAGGUUUUCCUACCUGUUCCUCACUUAGAAACCUGGAAAUCAUAGGCACCCUCUCAUAAUAGUCAAUUUUUGAACUGUAGAUAUGGUGACCACGCCAUCAUUUCAAAUAACUAUUCUCUUGAGUAAUGAUGCCUCAGCUAUCCCAUUUAGCCUAUCCUGUUUGCUAUUUACACUUCCUAUUGUGUGAGUGAGCUAAAGGUAGCUUUUGUCCAUAGGCGGGAUUGAGCCAGUACUCAAUAUAGGUUGUAUCAGUACUUUUCUGGUGGCCUCCGAGCACUUUUUUGUCUGAAUUAAUCUUUCACUGAAGUAAUAGCUCUUAUGGUUUCUAAGAGAACUUUCUGAAUAUGGCUCAAUAUGGUGCUGUAAAACAGAGUUCAGACAACCUGCCUGAAAUAAUUGCUCGAUGAGAUGUGUGAGCAGCACCUAUUCAUCUCUAAGGUUACUGAAACUAGAUAGGAAUUCAACUAACUGCAAUUCUGCAUUUUUACCCACAUCCAUGGCUACAGCCAAGGAGCAUAGCUCAGAUGGGGGUUUGCAAAGUUGGCCUUAAUGCUUCCCCAACUGGACUCUCCAAGUGCUGGGCCAAUCCCCUAGUGCAAUUUAGAGCAAUCUUCAGGCUGCUGUAAAUUUUCCACCUGCCAAGAAUCCCUAAAGUUCAAUAAAGCAGCCAACUUGUGUAGCGAUGCCCUGGCCAUACUCCUCUUCUCAAGCCUCACUCCUACAUCAGCAGCAGGAAGGAAACUGACAUAGGUGACACUACAUCAACUCUGUACCACCAAAAGAUUCCCCUCCACUAGGGUUAUUCUUUCGUGGCCAGGUAGCUUCUAUAAAGUGGUUGCGCCUGCAACACACCAGGAUCUGAGCCCUUGAUUGCAUACACUAAAUUGUUGCUAUUGGAGACCACAAUUUAUGGAUACGUCUGACAGAUUAAAGACAGAAAAGAGAAUUCCACUAAAUCUGUAAGAAACAGUCACU